rnacentral:rRNA from 1 species
UACGUAGGGGGCUAGCGUUGUCCGGAAUCAUUGGGCGUAAAGCGCGUGUAGGCGGUUCGGUAAGUCCGCUGUGAAAGUCGGGGGCUCAACCCUCGGAAGCCGGUGGAUACUGUCGGGCUAGAGUACGGAAGAGGCGAGUGGAAUUCCUGGUGUAGCGGUGAAAUGCGCAGAUAUCCGAGAGGAACACCUGCGGCGAAGGCGGCGCUCUGGGCCGGAACUGACGCUGAGGAGCGAAAGCGUGGGUAGCAAACAGG